AGGACUCAUCACACACUUUCCGCCCGUCUCCAAAAGUGCUCCAAACCGGGCGGACGGAGCUCGGGCCUGGCACGGGUCCUCUCCGGGGUUCGGUUGAGCGUCGACGGGUCCUACCGGGCGCAGCUUCUCAGACGGAAAACAGCACAAAUAGAAGAAGAAAAAAAACAUCCACAGAUCUGCAGCUUUUAACCACUGACAGGUAAAACAAGACAGUUUGUUCCAAAAGUUAGACUAUUUAUCCAUAAAUCAGACUAUAUUUCUCCAUAAAUAAGACUCUAUUUCUCAGGUUUUCUAUUUCUUCUGUUUCUCCAUUUUUCUGUCUGACCUCCACCUCCAUCUCUGCUGCUGAGCCCGCCCACUGGACAAAAUACGAGCGGUGAUUGGUCGAAACUGUUCGCAGGAGGCGACAGGGGCGGGAAAGGUGAGCCAAUGAGGAGUUGUAACUGCAGAGUGCCAGGAGUGAGAGCCACUGACGGUGGUGGAGACAGCGGGAGGGCGGGUCUGCAGCGGUGAGAGUUGAUGAAAAGCUGAAAUGGCAGUUAGUGAAUUUAACACUUAACAACUUCCAGCCUUUAAACAAAUACAAAAUGGCGGCGGGGAGUUCGGCGGUAAGUUAGCCGUGAAGCUAGUGGUAGCGGCGGAGCGGAAAGCAGCACCGGAGGAAACACUGCUCACUGUAUUACCGACUUUAUUCCCGGUACCGAGCUCCGGUAAAGUUACGGUUAGCAGCGCUUCCCCCACCGCUCCUUAUUUCACGGCUCAGUGGGAAAGUCUCCGUCUGUAGCCUGCCGCCGGUAACCCUGAGCGGCCUGAGAGAGUGGAGAGGCCCGGGGAGCUGCUGGAAGUGUGCUAGUACACACAACACAACACACAAAUUGCACACACACACAGACCAACAACACAAAGACUGAAAAACAAAGACAACUGACCAACUGUAAUGAGACACUAACACUACAGGGACCAAAAACAGUGACAAAAAUAUGUAGCAUGACUACAAAGAAGUACAACACAGAGGACAGACAACAAUCACAGGGACACAAAACAAUCACAAUAAGAGGCAUAAAACCACAAAGAGACAACCAGAGAAGUUUGAUUCACCAGAAAUAAUCAACCUCUCCAGACGUUUCCUCUCUACUCUGCUCACCAUCUGUAGAUGUUCCUCCAUGCUGAAUGGAUCUCCAACAACCUGCUCCUCUGUUCUCUGUUUCUGCUGAGUUUAUUUAGUGGUUUUCCUCUCAGUCUCUCUGAGGAAACACUGCCUGCAGUUCAGCCUGAAACUCUCUGAAUGUUUUGGUCUCAGCUGAUUCUGUCCUGGAGAACCAGAACCAGGAGGAAAGUUCUGGUUCUGCUGGAUGUAAUUAGACCAAACAGUUUAUUUCUGGAGAUUUUUAAACGAGCCAUGUAGAAUAAAGUGAUUUUAAUAAAAAGUCUGAAUUUUAAUCUCAGAUUUGGUUCAUUUUUCUGAAAGAAAGACACAUCAAAACAGUUUUUGAAUUCAGAUAACUUCUGGAUUACUGCUGGAGGGCAGGUUGGAAGGCUCAAAAGUCAUACUAUUCUUUCUGUUUUUAUUGUUUAUUUCUGUGAUAAUCUGACACUCUGACAGUAACAACAGUUUGAUUCUGUUGAUUUUUUAACCAAUUCAGUAAAUCAGCAGCUCCACCUCUGAUCUCUAUCAGGGAUAAAUUAUCAAUCAGCAGCAUUCAGUUGUCCCAGUCUGACUGUUCUGAAGUCAGUUAAACCAACCUGGUAGUAAUCAGAAGAUGUUUCUGGAGGACCAGAGAUCAGCAGCAUGAAGGAGCCAAACAUCAGAGAAACAAACGUUCACUUCACAGAACUGAGGAGCACGGAGUCGAUCUGUAGAAGAUCAGAUUCUACAGAUCAGUUUCUAAGGAUCAGCGUUUUAUGAACCAAUGAAUGAUUCUAAAAGUGAAAAAUUUAAGUUUCUUACAGUAAAUUAAACUUUGCUGAUUUUCUUGUUUGAUAAACUGACAGAAGUUUUAAUGAGAAAUUACAACUAUUUAAAAAGUAAAGUUAUGGUGUUCCUCCUCCACUAGAAGACCUUCAGGUUUUUUCUGUCUGGACAGAAGUCCACCUUAAAGACAUCCAGGAGCAUUAAACUAUCUGAGGAUGGAGACGGUUUGUAGGAUCGUUAGGAAGCAUCGGCUCUGCUUCCUUUUAAUUUGUCACUGCACUAAUUACCGUUCACAGCAGUCAAUUAAUUCAGCCUCGUUAAGGCUUCGUUAGCUGGAGUCUAACGGACGCGGAGGUCUGAUUAGAAACAUCCAUGAAAUAAAGACCAGCAAUGGUUUAAUCUGAUUACAUUAAUUACAGCCACAGUUCAUCAGGACAGACCUGCAGCCAGAGUGCAUUCAGAAAGCACAACGUUUACUGUCAAUCAAUCAAUCAAUCAGUAUACAACCAAACGAGUCAAACAACGAAGUAAUGAUUAAGUGAUAUCUUUAUUUUUGUGUCAUGCACUAAGUGUGCCCAACCCUCAUGGGUUUACGAGACACCAGUAUACCAGCAUUGCAACGAUACAUCAAAACAACACAGUAUUCUGCUGCUUAGUCCUUAAAACAUGGUGCCUUUUAUCCCAGGCCUGACAAAAAAUUCUGCCAUGAAAAGGGUUCCUCUUCUAAAACAACUCUAAUUUUUCAUGGUCAUCCAACCAAAAGAAAUCAAAAUAACAGAGGACAUCUUACUGAAAAGUACCUCUCUUACAUCUUCGUUUAAGGACAGUAAAACACAAAAUGAACCUGAUUGUCAGCAUCUCCUAAAUUACACAGCAAACAAAGCCUGUCCUUCUCUGGAGCAGCAUCAAACCUCCCAGUCUCUAAAGCAAACGUUCCUGAGCACAGCAGAGCACUCAGGGAUCUCUGUCUUUUACUUCAAUUAAACUUAACAUCAGGUUCCACACUGUAUCUGUCUUUUAUAAGACAGUAACUUCAUAACUUUGGUUUAUACCAAAUAUCAACAGACCAUUUUUCUGUAAAUCUUAGAAACAUCUUACUCCUCAUCUCCUGAACCUAUUAUGAAAAAUAAAUGAUGAGAUAGAUAAGUGAAUACAACACAUGUGGAAGAGUGUUACAGCUUGUUCUGUCUCACACUGACUAUACAAACUGGACGGCUGAGCAUUACCCUCACAGGGAACUUUUAUUUAACUGCAGCUACACAACUCAGCGGGCACAUUUCUCAUCAGAUGCGUCACUCAGUUGCGUCCGGGUAGCAACAAACAACACAUAAGCAAUUCCUAUUGCUACAGAGUAAUUUCUAAAAGUGAGUGAAUCAAUAUCUGAUGAGUGAAUGAAUGAACAGCUGGAUGUCAAUAAAUAUAUGGAAUGAAUGUCAGGCUGCCCAGUAGGGUCCAUGUGCUGUUACAAACUGUGUGGUUCUAGAAGUGUCGGUCGUGUGUUUGUGUGUUGUUUUGUUGUGUGUGUUGGUGCUGCAUCUUCUCAGCUCAUCUCUGCUGUUAAACAUCUCUUCACGGCUGCUGAUCAAUAACUGAUCGGCUCUCUGGCCUCCUGCUGAUCCAGGACCAGUGAUCUCAGGGGGAUGAGCUGAAGGAAGCUGCAGCGAUCAAACACUCGGUCUCCUUUCAUUCACUGAGCAGCUACUUUACAGAGCCAGUCAUAAUUAAAACAUGUCAGUGUGGAGCUGCAGAGAUGCUAACAGCUUCUUUAUGCUAAGCUAAGCUAACCACAGCAGAGAACAUUGAAAUGUUUCCUUCACUCCCGCUGACAUUGUCAGGAUGGUUUCCAUAAAUAUAUGACUCUUUUUCUGUUGCAGCGAUUAACUUUAACCCUAGAAGCUGUUCAGAAGCUGAACUGUCUGAAGCAGGAAGUGAAACGUGGGUUUGAUAUGAAGCAGCUGCUCUCAAGUGUUUUCAUGGAAAAGGCUUUAAAGGCGGCCGGCCUCCGUCAGCCUGCUUCGGUUUCUCUUUUUUCUACUGCCAAGUCUUUCCAUGUUCUGCUGCCAGCUGGUCAGGGUCUCCUGCUGCCUCCAGGCCCCGGCUUCUUCUUCUGCAGCACCUGUUCCUGUUUGGCAGAGCUGAAGCUGGAGAUGAGCCAUCUGCUGCCCCACGCUGCUCCAUUUACCCCCAGUCCCCCUCUGCAAGAUCCCAUUUUACCCCCAGUCCUCUACUGUAAGGUCCCAUUUUACCCCCAGUCCUCUACUGUAAGGUCCCAUUUUACCCCCAGUCCUCUACUGUAAGGUCCCAUUUUACCCCCAGUCCUCUACUGUAAGGUCCCAUUUUACCCCCAGUCCUCUACUGUAAGGUCCCAUUUUACCCCCAGUCCUCUACUGUAAGGUCCCAUUUUACCCCCAGUCCUCUACUGUAAGGUCCCAUUUUACCCCCAGUCCUCUACUGUAAGGUCCCAUUUUAACCCCAGUCCUCUACUGUAAGGUCCCAUUUUACCCCCAGUCCUCUACUGUAAGGUCCCAUUUUACCCCCAGUCCUCUACUGUAAGAUCCCAUUUUACC